rnacentral:tRNA from 1 species
UUUUCCCUAGCUUAAAUUAAAGUGUGAGUUUGAAGAGCUUAAGAUAAAUAAUUAUUUGGGAGAAG